rnacentral:rRNA from 1 species
UACGUAGACAGCAAACGUUGUUCGGAGUUACUGGGCGUAAAGCGCACGUAGGCGGCUUAGCAAGUCGGAUGUGAAAUCCCUCGGCUUAACCAAGGAAGUGCAUCCGAAACUGCUGAGCUUGAGUACUUAAGAGGAUCGCGGAAUUCCCGGUGUAGAGGUGAAAUUCGUAGAUAUCGGGAGGAACACCAGUGGCGAAGGCGGCGAUCUGGGAAGAUACUGACGCUGAGGUGCGAAAGCGUGGGGAGCAAACAGG